AAAAAAGGUAAGCUACUAAGAGCGAAUGGUGGAUGCCUUGACUGGUAAAGGCGAUGAAGGACGUACUAGACUGCGAUAAGCUACGGGGAGCUGUCAAGAAGCUUUGAUCCGUAGAUUUCCGAAUGGGGCAACCCAAUGUAUAGAGAUAUACAUUACCUAUAUAGGAGCGAACGAGGGGAAUUGAAACAUCUUAGUACCCUCAGGAAAAGAAAUCAAUAGAGAUUGCGUCAGUAGCGGCGAGCGAAAGCGCAAAAGGGCAAACCCAGUGCUUGCACUGGGGGUUGUAGGACUGCAAUGUGCAAGAGGUAAGUUUAGCAGAACAUUCUGGAAAGUAUAACCAUAGAGGGUGAUAGUCCCGUAUGCGAAAAACAAACCUUAGCUAGCAGUAUCCUGAGUAGGGCGGGACACGAGGAAUCCUGUCUGAAUCCGGGUCGACCACGAUCCAACCCUAAAUACUAAUACCAGAUCGAUAGUGCACAAGUACCGUGAGGGAAAGGUGAAAAGAACUGAGGUGAUCAGAGUGAAAUAGAACCUGAAACCAUUUGCUUACAAUCAUUCAGAGCCCUAUGUAGCAAUACAGGGUGAUGGACUGCCUUUUGCAUAAUGAGCCUGCGAGUUGUGGUGUCUGGCAAGGUUAAGCAAACGCGAAGCCGUAGCGAAAGCGAGUCUGAAUAGGGCGCUUAGUCAGAUGCUGCAGACCCGAAACGAAGUGAUCUAUCCAUGAGCAAGUUGAAGCUAGUGUAAGAACUAGUGGAGGACUGAACCCAUAGGCGUUGAAAAGCCCCGGGAUGACUUGUGGAUAGGGGUGAAAGGCCAAUCAAACUUCGUGAUAGCUGGUUCUCUCCGAAAUAUAUUUAGGUAUAGCGUUGUGUCGUAAUAUAAGGGGGUAGAGCACUGAAUGGGCUAGGGCAUACACCAAUGUACCAAACCCUAUCAAACUCCGAAUACCUUAUAUGUAAUCACAGCAGUCAGGCGGCGAGUGAUAAAAUCCGUCGUCAAGAGGGAAACAACCCAGACUACCAGCUAAGGUCCCUAAAUCUUACUUAAGUGGAAAACGAUGUGAAGUUACUUAAACAACCAGGAGGUUGGCUUAGAAGCAGCCAUCCUUUAAAGAAAGCGUAAUAGCUCACUGGUCUAGUGAUUUUGCGCGGAAAAUAUAACGGGGCUAAAGUAAGUACCGAAGCUGUAGACUUGCACACAACUUAGAUUAUUUAAGUUUAGAAUAUGAGAAACUAAGUUAUAUGUUUAGUUAUAUUUUUACUGAUUUUUAUAGAGUAAAGAUAGAAAUAAAACUUAGUAAAAUCAGUAAAAAUAUUCUUAGACUAAAGUUAAGUAGUUUAAGUUGUGUGCAAGUGGUAGGAGAGCGUUCUAUUUGCGUCGAAGGUAUACCGGUAAGGAGUGCUGGAGCGAAUAGAAGUGAGCAUGCAGGCAUGAGUAGCGAUAAUUAAUGUGAGAAUCAUUAACGCCGUAAACCCAAGGUUUCCUACGCGAUGCUCGUCAUCGUAGGGUUAGUCGGGUCCUAAGUCGAGUCCGAAAGGGGUAGACGAUGGCAAAUUGGUUAAUAUUCCAAUACCAACAUUAGUGUGCGAUGAAAGGACGCUUAGGGCUAAGGGGGCUAGCGGAUGGAAGUGCUAGUCUAAGGUCGUAGGAGGUUAUACAGGCAAAUCCGUAUAACAAUACUCCGAGAACUGAAAGGCUUUUUGAAGUCUUCGGAUGGAUAGAAGAACCCCUGAUGCCGUCGAGCCAAGAAAAGUUUCUAAGUUUAGCUAAUGUUGCCCGUACCGUAAACCGACACAGGUGGGUGGGAUGAGUAUUCUAAGGCGCGUGGAAGAACUCUCUUUAAGGAACUCUGCAAAAUAGCACCGUAUCUUCGGUAUAAGGUGUGGUUAGCUUUGUAUUAGGAUUUACUCCGAAAGCAAGGAAACUUACAACAAAGAGUCCCUCCCGACUGUUUACCAAAAACACAGCACUCUGCUAACUCGUAAGAGGAUGUAUAGGGUGUGACGCCUGCCCGGUGCUCGAAGGUUAAUUGAUGGGGUUAGCAUUAGCGAAGCUCUUGAUCGAAGCCCGAGUAAACGGCGGCCGUAACUAUAACGGUCCUAAGGUAGCGAAAUUCCUUGUCGGUUAAAUACCGACCUGCAUGAAUGGCGUAACGAGAUGGGAGCUGUCUCAAAGAGGGAUCCAGUGAAAUUGUAGUGGAGGUGAAAAUUCCUCCUACCCGCGGCAAGACGGAAAGACCCCGUGGACCUUUACUACAGCUUGACACUGCUACUUGGAUAAGAAUGUGCAGGAUAGGUGGGAGGCUUUGAGUAUAUGACGCCAGUUGUAUAUGAGCCAUUGUUGAGAUACCACUCUUUCUUAUUUGGGUAGCUAACCAGCUUGAGUUAUCCUCAAGUGGGACAAUGUCUGGUGGGUAGUUUGACUGGGGCGGUCGCCUCCCAAAUAAUAACGGAGGCUUACAAAGGUUGGCUCAGAACGGUUGGAAAUCGUUCGUAGAGUAUAAAGGUAUAAGCCAGCUUAACUGCAAGACAUACAAGUCAAGCAGAGACGAAAGUCGGUCUUAGUGAUCCGGUGGUUCUGUGUGGAAGGGCCAUCGCUCAAAGGAUAAAAGGUACCCCGGGGAUAACAGGCUGAUCUCCCCCAAGAGCUCACAUCGACGGGGAGGUUUGGCACCUCGAUGUCGGCUCAUCGCAUCCUGGGGCUGGAGCAGGUCCCAAGGGUAUGGCUGUUCGCCAUUUAAAGCGGUACGCGAGCUGGGUUCAGAACGUCGUGAGACAGUUCGGUCCCUAUCUGCCGUGGGCGUAAGAAGAUUGAAGAGAUUUGACCCUAGUACGAGAGGACCGGGUUGAACAAACCACUGGUGUAGCUGUUGUUCUGCCAAGAGCAUCGCAGCGUAGCUAAGUUUGGAAAGGAUAAACGCUGAAAGCAUCUAAGCGUGAAGCCAACUCUAAGAUGAAUCUUCUCUAAGCUCUCUAGAAGACUACUAGUUUGAUAGGCUGGGUGUGUAAUGGAUGAAAGUCCUUUAGCUGACCAGUACUAAUAGAGCGUUUGGCUUAUCUUUAAUAAAGCAU
rnacentral:rRNA from 1 species